rnacentral:rRNA from 1 species
ACGUAGGGUGCGAGCGUUAAUCGGAAUUACUGGGCGUAAAGUGUGCGCAGGCGGCCGCGCAAGUCGAGUGUGAAAGCCCCGAGCUUAACUUGGGAAUUGCGCUCGAAACUACGUGGCUGGAGUGUGGCAGAGGAAGGUGGAAUUCCAGGUGUAGCGGUGAAAUGCGUAGAGAUCUGGAGGAACACCAGCGGCGAAGGCGGCAAACUGGAUAGGAACUGACACUCAACAACGAAAGCGUGGGGAGCAAACAGGA